AAUCAACGCUGGCGGCGUGCCUCAGACAUGCAAGUCGAACGAUUAAAGCUCCCUUCGGGGAGUGCAUAAAGUGGCGCACGGGUGAGUAACACGUAAGUAAUCUACCCUCGGGUGGGGAAUAACAUCGGGAAACCGAUGCUAAUACCGCAUAAUGCAGCGGCACCGCAAGGUGACAGUUGUUAAAGAUUUAUUGCCUGGGGAGGAGCUUGCGGCAGAUUAGCUUGUUGGUAAGGAACGGCUUACCAAGGCUACGAUCUGUAUCCGGUCUAAGAGGACGGUCGGACACACUGACACUGAAUAACGGGUCAGACUCCUACGGGAGGCAGCAGUCGGG
rnacentral:rRNA from 1 species